rnacentral:rRNA from 1 species
CGUUUAUAAUUACUUAGUUGCUUUGGUAGAGUGCUUCGGCGUCUACCAAGGACCAUUUUAACACUUUGUUAUCCAAUAAUUGGUUGUCUUCAGUCUGAUUUUAUAACUUUAAUAAGUAAAUAAAACUUUCAACAACGGAUCUCUUGGUUCUGGCAUCGAUGAAGAACGCAGCAAAAUGCGAUAAGUAAUGUGAAUUGCAGAAUUCCGUGAAUCAUCAAAUCUUUGAACGCACAUUGCGCCUUCUGGUAAUCCGGAAGGCAUGCCUGUCUGAGCGUCAUUACACCAUUCAAACCUUUCUUUUAUUAGAAGUGGCUUGGUUUUGGAAGUAAAUUGUCAGUUUUACUACUGCGGUUUCUUCUGUAAUGCAUUGACGAGCGUCUACUGUUCCUUAGUUGUAGCAAGCAUUUUCUCAACUUCAAGGUAGCAGUAGAUGUCCUACUUUCUAUUGUCUUGUCCUUUGGGAUUAACAUUUAAAGUUUGACCUCAGAUCAGGUAGGAAUACCCGCUGAACUUAA